rnacentral:rRNA from 1 species
CGUCGGGCCGGACCCGGGCGCACGGGUGAGUAACACGUACCCAACCUCCCCUUUACUCGGGGAUACCCUUACGAAAGAAAGAUUAAUACCCGAUAGCAUAAUGAUUCCGCAUGGUUUCAUUAUUAAAGGAUUCCGGUAAAGGAUGGGGAUGCGUUCCAUUAGGUUGUUGGUGAGGUAACGGCUCACCAAGCCUUCGAUGGAUAGGGGUUCUGAGAGGAAGGUCCCCCACAUUGGAACUGAGACACGGUCCAA